rnacentral:rRNA from 1 species
GAUGAACGCCAGCUACAGGCUUAACACAUGCAAGUCGAGGGGAAACGACAUCGAAAGCUUGCUUUUGAUGGGCGUCGACCGGCGCACGGGUGAGUAACGCGUAUCCAACCUGCCCAUCACUUGGGAAUAACCUUGCGAAAGUAAGACUAAUACCCAAUGAUAUCCCACGAAGGCAUCGGAAUGGGAUUAAAGAUUUAUCGGUGAUGGAUGGGGAUGCGUCUGAUUAGCUUGUUGGCGGGGUAACGGCCCACCAAGGCAACGAUCAGUAGGGGUUCUGAGAGGAAGGUCCCCCACAUUGGAACUGAGACACGGUCCAAACUCCUACGGGAGGCAGCAGUGAGGAAUAUUGGUCAAUGGGCGAGAGCCUGAACCAGCCAAGUAGCGUGCAGGAAGACGGCCCUAUGGGUUGUAAACUGCUUUUAUAAGGGAAUAAAGUGGGUCACGUGUGACUUUUUGCAUGUACCUUAUGAAUAAGGACCGGCUAAUUCCGUG